rnacentral:rRNA from 1 species
UACGUAGGUGGCGAGCGUUGUCCGGAUUUACUGGGCGUAAAGAGCGCGCAGGCGGCCAAGUCAGUCGCAUGUGAAAGCCCCCGGCUUAACUGGGGAGGGUCAUUCGAUACUGCUCGGCUCGAAGACAGGAGAGGGAAGUGGAAUUCCCGGUGUAGUGGUGAAAUGCGUAGAUAUCGGGAGGAACACCAGUGGCGAGAGCGACUUUCUGGCCUGUUCUUGACGCUGAGGCGCGAAAGCUAGGGGAGCAAACGGG